rnacentral:rRNA from 1 species
GUGGUGAAAGCCGACAGCUCAACUGUCGAACUGCCAUUGAUACUGGAAAUCUUGAGUACAAAUGAAGUAGGCGGAAUGAGUCAUGUAGCGGUGAAAUGCAUAGAUAUGACUCAGAACACCGAUUGCGAAGGCAGCUUACUAACAUGUAACUGAGCGCUGAGGGACGAAAGCGUGGGGAGCGAACAGGAUUAGAUACCCUGGUAGUCCACGCCGUAAACGAUCAUCACUCGCUGUUGGCGAUAUACUGUCAGCGGCCAAGCGAAAGUAUUAAGUGAUGCACCUGGGGAGUACGCCGGCAACGGUGAAACUCAAAGGAAUUGACGGGGGCCCGCACAAGCGGUGGAGCAUGUGGUUUAAUUCGAUGA